AUGUCAACGGAGCGGAUUUGGAGUGAAUUUUUAAAAAUUCGAAUCCAAAUCCGACUCCAAAUCCGAAACUGAAAUUCGAAUAUCGAAUCCGAACCUUACAAAUUUAAAAAAUUCAUAUCCAAAUCCGAACCCAAUAAAAAAUUCAAAACCCGAACCCGAACUCGAAAUAAUUAUUUCUCUUUUCAAUAUUUCAAAAUAUAUUACAUUAAAUGUAAAUUUUUAAAAUAUAAAUUCGAAUAUAAUAUUAAAUUUUUAUAUACAUAUUAUAUACAAUGUAAAACAAAUUCGGAUUCCGGUCGAGUUCGGGUUCCGAUCGGGUACAUUCAAAAUUUAUAUUCAAAUUCAUAUUCGUCGGAUUUUUAUUUUUGAUAUCCAUAUCUGAAACCACAUCUCUCUCUCUCUCUCUCUCUUCACUUUUGAUGCAUUAAACGUGUUUCCUAUGUUGGGAAUCCGGUACUCACCCCGGUACCUGAUUUUGAGAAUUCGCAACUCGCUCCGAUAUCAAUUGUUGUUGAUCCAGUGUCGAUUGUUGGGAUUUUGUAACGGAAGCGUCGAGUCGAGUUUUUACCAUAAACUCGUCUUCUUAGCAAAAACUAAUACAAUCAUAAAAGAGAGAAAACCAACCUAAUAGAAAAUAUGCGAGUAAAAUAAGAUUCAUUAAAAAAGAGAAGAUUACAUCUGACUCGUCUUCUACAACAGAGUAGCUACAACUCGAGCCCUCUUUUUGAAUCUCUACUACCCUUCUCUCGUUUUCUAUAGUCUCAGAAGAUAUUUCUCUCAUCUUGUGCAUCCGUGCAUAAUGUAUACUAAUGACCUAGGCCAUGGUUAUAAAAAUCGCUCACGUCCUUUUGCACCCAUGCAUUAGGUGCAUCCAAAAUCAUUAUCACCUUGACCAUGUUAUAUGGGUGUGGUUAAUCCGUACCACCACCACUACAAUAAUAGCACAUAUGCUAUAUUUAUAGCUUACAUCAAAAGUUAUCCAAAUCCUAAUCCAAUUAGAUUUUAAUUAUAAAUGUAACCAAAUCCUAACAUCCUGAUUAUUUAUUCACACGAAAGUGUUAAAAAUUAAGAAGUAUGAUAAAUAAAGUGUUAACUAAGAGAGCCUUGGUAAACUAAGAGGCGUUAGAAUUAACUCUGAUAAUAUGCUACAGUAUGUUAUGUAAAAGAUGGACCAUAGAACUGGUUCGAAAAUAGUCUUAGGGGUUGUUUGGUUGUACGUACUUAUAACUGUACUGUAGUAGUAACUGCAUGCAUAUUCAAAUUCGGCAUUUGUUUUGAUACAUUUGAAUUCAAUUGAUGGAAUUGCAACUGCAUGAGGAGGCUCAACUGUAGCAGUCUACAGCAUUUGAAUAGUAUAGUUUUAAACAAUAAAAGCUUAUCUUCCUAACAAUCUUUUAAAUAAUUUGCCAUCUCAUUAUCUACAUAUAAAAUGAUAAAAAUUAUGAAUGCAUACCUAAAUUUUAUAUAACCAAACAAAAUAUUUAUAAUUAUAACAUUUUUUAUUAUAUCCAACCAAAUAAAAUACAAAUAAUUAUAAUUACUAUAUUUUUAAUUGCAUGUAUCUUUAACUAUAUUGUAUUUACAGUUACAGUU
rnacentral:lncRNA from 1 species